rnacentral:lncRNA from 1 species
AAUUACAAAAGCAAGGGCCAAGGGUUUAUACAACUUUAUAAUUGUCUGUCUGUACACAUAACGGCCUCUAUCCUUCCUUUCACUUGUGAGGGGCUGGAUUCUGCUCCCAGCUUCAGAAGCUUUCGUCCAUCAGGGUUUGUGGGUGCAGGUGGGUUCCUCCAACUCCAAACCAAAAUUAUUUGGAUUUCUUGGGUUGGAAAAGGAAAAUAGCAUUGAACACAAAUCAAACGAGUUGUGUUCCUCUCGAUCUGAACGAGCAUUUCAGUUGUGAAUUGUGGUUUGUUUUCCACUUCUUCUGUAUACAGUAACAAUUGUUUUGGAUCAGGAUAUCAACUGAGAACAAGGCAUUCGUAUGGGUGCGAAGACCACAGUGAGUCGUGCAUGGUCGGAAAGGGAGUAGUCCUCGGGCCACCUUCCUUUCUCAACUUCAGCAGGAAACAAGACUGCAUUUUCAACACUAAAACCAAUCGUUUG